rnacentral:lncRNA from 1 species
CAGGGACAGAGCAGAAUUUCUCUUGUUCCUCCAUGGUGCCCUGCCCCUUUAUGUUGGCUGCUAAUCACAGGUGUCCUGACUUAUUUAAGGAAACAGAGUAUCACCAGCCUAAUGGAGUCUGUGCCUGGAAGUGACUGUUCAUCACAGCCGCGCAGCUCAUGCUUCUCUGCCUCGUUUCUGCUGUUAUCAGUGCCCCUGUGUUUAGGGGAGGAAAACGAGAUAUUUUGCAUUCAUUGAGGAAGCACUGCAGCCUGCAUGAUGACACGUAUUGAAUCAGAACUGUCUCCAUCAAAUUGCAGCUCAUCUGAAAAUACGCCUUCUGCUGCUGCCUCUUAAAGGAAGUUUGCAGUCUAAGAACCGAGAUCCUGGGACACUGGAGCAUGACUAAAAACAGCCAGAGAGGGAAUCUGGAGGAUGUCUUCCAAGAGGGAGUUCAGAAACAGAGUCCUCAAUGGGUAAAAUGUAGCCUGCACUCUUGUGGAACCUAGGAACCAAACACUGAUGACCAUGAAUUACAGUCACAUAGUAUGGCAGGCUGGUGGGGAAGCCGUAGACCUGUCUUCUUCUCAUGGUUUGCCAGGUUGCAAGGAUCUGUCCUGCACUCUGCUGAGCGUAUUAUAGGGAUGGCAAAUGAACCUGGUUCUUGUGCAGGAGGUCUCUAUCCAUCUCCUUAUUUGGCCCCCAUUGUGGUCAUGUCUGA